GACGAACGUUGGCGGCGUGCUUAAUACAUGCAAGUCAACUGAAGCAGUGGUAGCAAUAUCGCUGUGGAGGUGGCGCACGGGUGAGUAACACGUAGGUAAUCUGCCUUCAGGUCUGGCAUAACUCCGGGAAACCGGGGCUAAUAGCAGAUGAUGCAGCGGCUCGACAUCGAGACAGUUGUUAAAGCUAUGGCGCCUGAAGAUGAGCCUGCGUCUGAUUAGCUAGUUGGCGGGGUAACGGCCCACCAAGGCAACGAUCAGUAGCUGGUCUGAGAGGAUGAUCAGCCACACUGGAACUGAGACACGGUCCAGACUCCUACGGGAGGCAGCAGUAAGUAAUAUUGCUCAAUGGGAGAAAUCCUGAAGCAGCAACGCCGCGUGAGGGACGAAGGGCUUUUGCUUGUAAACCUCUGUAGUGAGAGAAAAAAAUCCCAAUCUUUGGGACAUGAUGGUAUCUCAAAAGUAAGCCCCGGCUAACUACGUG
rnacentral:rRNA from 1 species